rnacentral:rRNA from 1 species
GACGAACGCUGGCGGCGUGCUUAACACAUGCAAGUCGAACGGAAAGGCCCUGCUUUUGUGGGGUGCUCGAGUGGCGAACGGGUGAGUAACACGUGAGUAACCUGCCCUUGACUUUGGGAUAACUUCAGGAAACUGGGGCUAAUACCGGAUAGGAGCUCCUGCUGCAGGGUGGGGGUUGGAAAGUUUCGGCGGUUGGGGAUGGACUCGCGGCUUAUCAGCUUGUUGGUGGGGUAGUGGCUUACCAAGGCUUUGACGGGUAGCCGGCCUGAGAGGGUGACCGGCCACAUUGGGCCUGAGAUACGGCCCAGACUCCUACGGGAGGCAGCAGUGGGGAAUAUUGCACAAUGGGCGGAGGCCUGAUGCAGCAACGCCGCGUGCGGGAUGACGGCCUUCGGGUUGUAAUCCGCUUUCGCCUGUGACGAAGCGUGAGUGACGGUAAUGGGUAAAGAAGCACCGGCUAACUACGUG